AGUAACCAAAACUCAAGAGUAUGGGAUCGAGUCCGACUGCGUUUGGCGUUGCAAGGGGCGUUUUAGUGGGUUCGCUGGCAGGAUUUCAGUCGCUUCAUUUUGGCCCUUUUGUCUCCAACAGUCAACUCAGUAUCAGGAGAUUAUCCUCCACCAAACCACUACUGGAGCAGCACAGACAAACUAAACUAGUGAUGCAAAACGAAAUCCAAUACAAACCCAGAAUUCUGUGCCUCCAUGGCUUCAGGACCAGUGCUUCAAUCCUGCAAAAAUUGAUAGCUAGAUGGCCUGAAACUGUGCUUCAAAAGCUCGACCUUCAUUUCCUUGAUGGCCCAUUUCCUGCCCAAGGAAAAUCUGAUGUUGAAGGCAUUUUUGAUCCUCCUUACUAUGAGUGGUAUCAGAGCAAUCAGGACUUCACAGAGUACAGAAAUUUUGAAGAAUGUGUUGCUUAUAUGGAAGAUUAUAUGAUAAAUCAUGGUCCUUUUGACGGUUUGCUUGGCUUCUCCCAGGGAGCAUUUCUAUCAGCUGCUGUGCCCAGCAUGCAAGCACAGGGAGUAGCUUUUACAAGGGUACCAAAGAUAAAGUUUCUGGUCAUAAUUUCUGGGUCUAAGUUUGGAGGGUAUAAGUUUGGCCAACCCAAGCUUGCUGCUAAUGCAUUUUCAUCUCCCAUUGAGUGUCCUUCUCUCCACAUUAUAGACAAAUAUCUUCAAAUUCAUUAACCGGGGCAAUUUUUAAAUUUUGAAUACACUGGAAGCAUUUUCGGGGAGCAUCUAUCUCUUUUUUCUUAAGAUGAGGUUGAAGGAGCAAAAGGUUCAAAUUUAGUGCAAAAAACUCUGUAAUUAAGUAAGGAGUUCAGUUAGUAACAUGAAGAACAUAUCAUUUUGACUAAUGAGUUUUCUAUUUUUGGUUUCAUCACCUAAAGAUCAAAGACAAAUGCUUUGCUUCACAGUCCACAACAGCACGUAGAUAAGCAGACCAUUUGUCAAAUGGCUGGAUGCAAUUGUAUAAGGCAUGAUCUAUAAAUGCACUUCAACAUCAUCACAUUAAUGUAGGAAAUAAGAGACAUUUUUAUAUGGCCAGGAAGCAUCAUUUUUACUUGCUGAUAAUGCACAUG